rnacentral:rRNA from 1 species
CCUACGGGGAGCAGCAGUGAGGAAUAUUGGUCAAUGGACGAGAGUCUGAACCAGCCAAGUAGCGUGAAGGAUGACUGCCCUAUGGGUUGUAAACUUCUUUUAUAAAGGAAUAAAACGAGGCACGUGUGCCUUUUUGCAUGUACUUUAUGAAUAAGGAUCGGCUAACUCCGUGCCAGCAGCCGCGGUAAUACGGAGGAUCCGAGCGUUAUCCGGAUUUAUUGGGUUUAAAGGGAGCGUAGAUGGGUUGUUAAGUCAGUUGUGAAAGUUUGCGGCUCAACCGUAAAAUUGCAAUUGAUACUGGCAGUCGUGAGUACAGUUGAGGUAGGCGGAAUUCGUGGUGUAGCGGUGAAAUGCUUAGAUAUCACGAAGAACCCCGAUUGCGAAGGCAGCUUACUAAACUGUGACUGACAUUGAUGCUCGAAAGUGUGGGUAUCAAACAGGAUUAGAUACCCCGGUAGUC